CACUUCUCAUGAGCUCCUCUCUGUCAGUGCAGUGGCGGUGUAUGGGUUCGCACGAGAAGUACAUUUCAAGUUCACAUUUACACUUUGUGCAUCUACUAUACUGGAAUGCACCCAUGUCUGAUGUGAGACAUUC